CCUACGGGUGGCAGCAGUGGGGAAUAUUGCACAAUGGGGGAAACCCUGAUGCAGCGACGCCGCGUGAGUGAAGAAGGAACUCGUUAUGUAAAGCUCUUUCAGCAGGGAAGAAAAUGACGGUACCUGAGUAAGAAGCCCCGGCUAACUACGUGCCAGUAGCCGCGGCAAUACGAAGGGGGCGAGCGUUAUCCGGAUUUACAGGGUGUAAAGGGAGCGUAGACGGCAGUGAAAGUCUGGGGUGAAAGGCGGGGGCUCAACCCCGGACUGCUCUGGAAACUGUACGGCUUGAGUGCAGGAGAGGUAAGUGGAAUUCCUAGUGUAGCGGUGAAAUGCGUAGAUAUUAGGAGGAACACCAGUGGCGAAGGCGGCUUACUGGACUGUAACUGACGUUGAGGCUCGAAAGCGUGGGGAGCAAACAGGAUUAGAUACCCUUGUAGUC
rnacentral:rRNA from 1 species